GAUGAACGCUGGCGGCGUGCUUAACACAUGCAAGUCGAACGGAAAGGCUCCUGCUUGCAGGGGUACUCGAGUGGCGAACGGGUGAGUAACACGUGGGUGAUCUGCCCUGCACUUCGGGAUAAGCCUGGGAAACUGGGUCUAAUACCGGAUAGGACGAUGGUUUGGAUGCCAUUGUGGAAAGUUUUUCGGUGUGGGAUGAGCUCGCGGCCUAUCAGCUUGUUGGUGGGGUAAUGGCCUACCAAGGCGUCGACGGGUAGCCGGCCUGAGAGGGUGUACGGCCACAUUGGGACUGAGAUACGGCCCAGACUCCUACGGGAGGCAGCAGUGGGGAAUAUUGCACAAUGGGCGCAAGCCUGAUGCAGCGACGCCGCGUGGGGGAUGACGGCCUUCGGGUUGUAAACUCCUUUCGCUAGGGACGAAGCGCAAGUGACGGCACCUGGAGAAGAAGCACCGGCUAACUACGUG
rnacentral:rRNA from 1 species